CAGCGCCCUCAGGCCGCGCGGCCCCGCCCGCGCCGCCAUGGCGGCUCACUGCGCGCGGCCGCGAGAUGGCAGCGCCCGCCGCCACAGCCGCCACAGCCGUCACAGUCGCCACAGCCGCACCCCGGCCGGGGCUGCCUCCGGGAGGAGAGGAUGAGGGCGGCGGGGAGGUCCUGUCCCGCCCGCGGCUCCGGUGCGGAGGGCGGUGAGGGGCUGCAGAUCAAGGUGUUCAGCAGUAGAAAGAAGGGCAGUGUAGAGAGUCCAGCAUAUCACAAUUCAACACAAGAGAGAGACCGGGUCAGUUAUUAAACCCUGGGCAGCCUGCCGGGCUUUCAGCAUUGGACUUCCCUCAGAAAAUACCCUGAAGAGAAGGGCAGAGAUGUUGCCUUGCUCCGUGCUUUACCUCAGCUACCUUGACACAGAUUCAUUGAUUCUGCACCUUCCAAGUGAACACAGAAGCCCAAGUGCUUACAGUGCACCCCAAGGUCCUUUCUGGCAAGCCCAGCAGGGGCAGCUGCCCUGAGUGAGCCCGUGAAGCCCCAGCCCCAGCGGCUGUACCAUGGUGCGGGAGUUGCGGUGACCUUUAUAAACCAUCUUGAUCAAGGGGCGCCUGAUGUUCAGCGUCUCCAGCU